rnacentral:rRNA from 1 species
UGGGGAAUUUUGGACAAUGGGCGAAAGCCUGAUCCAGCAAUGCCGCGUGUGUGAAGAAGGCCUUCGGGUUGUAAAGCACUUUUGUCCGUAAAGAAAUCCUUGGCUCUAAUACAGUCGGGGGAUGACGGUACCGGAAGAAUAAGCACCGGCUAACUACGUGCCAGCAGCCGCGGUAAUACGUAGGGUGCAAGCGUUAAUCGGAAUUACUGGGCGUAAAGCGUGCGCAGGCGGUUUGCUAAGACCGAUGUGAAAUCCCCGGGCUCAACCUGGGAACUGCAUUGGUGACUGGCAGGCUAGAGUAUGGCAGAGGGGGGUAGAAUUCCACGUGUAGCAGUGAAAUGCGUAGAGAUGUGGAGGAAUACCGAUGGCGAAGGCAGCCCCCUGGGCCAAUACUGACGCUCAUGCACGAAAGCGUGGGGAGCAAACAGGAUUAGAUACCCUGGUAGUCCACGCCCUAAAACGAUGUCAACUAGUUGCUGGGGAUUCAUUUCCUUAGUAACGUAGCUAACGCGUGAAGUUGACCGCCUGGGGAGUACGGUCGCAAGAUUAAAACUCAAAUGAAUUGACGGGGUCAUAGCUGUUUCCU